rnacentral:rRNA from 1 species
UACGGGGGGGGCAAGCGUUGUUCGGAAUUACUGGGCGUAAAGGGCUCGUAGGUGGCCAACUAAGUCGGACGUGAAAUCCCUCAGCUUAACUGGGGAACUGCGUCCGAUACUGGAUGGCUUGAGUUUGGGAGAGGGAUGCGGAAUUCCGGGUGUAGCGGUGAAAUGCGUAGAUAUCCGGAGGAACACCGGUGGCGAAGGCGGCUUCCUGGACCGAUUACUGACGCUGAGGCGCGAAAGCUAGGGGAGCAAACGGG